rnacentral:lncRNA from 1 species
GACGGUAGUUUCUUUCUUUUCUUUUUCAAAAGUCAUUCAAUUUUCAAGUUUAUUGUUUUCCCCUAGUCAUAACAACGAACGAGCCGCAUUUUAGAUCACAAGUUGCUUUAGAUGAAAUGAGUCGAGAUAGAAGUUGUAGAAGAAUUUGAAAAAGAAGUUAAAACAGUUAACAAAUUCGCGUGGGUGGGUGGGUGGAUGAUGUGGAAGUUAUUGGUGAUGUGUGAAACAUUCCGACCCAAUUACCGUAUUUACUUCUUUUUCUAUAUUUUAAACGUGAUUCUAUUUUCCGCCCACUUCGCCCUCAACGGAGGAGUCGAAGAACCACCUGUUUGGCAAACGAUCAAAAUGUCGCGCUAGGGUCGAAGAUGUGUUCUACGAAAACUUUCUCAACGAUAAGAUUUGGACGAAACUAUUAUCGUUAAAUUUAGAUAUCGUUAGUUUAUAUACUUUUCAAUUACGAAUAUUUUGAUCGAUCUUUUUCUUUUUGUUUUCCUUUUUUUAUAUUUUUUCAUUGAGAAGAAAGAACGCGUUAUCUAGGAGACCGAAAAAAAAGUGAAAAAGAAAAAAUGCAAACAGAUUUAACGUUAAACGAUUUCAUUUAUAAAUAUCAAUCGACCGUAUAUCGAUACGAAUGAAAAUAUUAUAUAUCCAGAAAAUGAUCUAUCUUUGUUAUUAAUCAUUUGAAUAAAAUAAAAGAAUUCAAUAAGAUUAUCCCGAAUAGACGAUUACGAUUUCGUAUAUUUUUCCAUUGAUACUUCCGCCGUGUAAACGCAAACCAGAUGCGUGCAAGAAGCAGUUUAUAGCAACUGAGCGAAUCUCACGUACCCAAAGUUACAUAUCGACAGACACCAUUAGAGCAGCUUGCUAGAUCUAUUUAGAAUGAUUUUCUCGAUCGGUAUGCGAGGAUACGAAAUGAACAUAUCAAACGAAAAAGAAAAAACCAUCCAGGCGGAAAAAUAAUCUUACAAUUAGAUAUGAAUGAAACAUUAUUCAAAAAGUAUUACACCAAAGUAAAAAUAGACAAAAAAAAAAUAAAAUAAUAAGGUUGACAAAUCUUGCGGGGUUGUGAUCUAAAAUAAAAGAUUAUCAAGUUUUAUAUUGUUAGAUAGAAACAGACACGGAUUAAAAGGGAUAGAGAAAGAUAAUGAGAGGAACGAGAAUGGAGAUACGUCUCGUUGAGAGAGAGAGAGAGAGAGAGAGAGCAUGAGAGAGAUUAAGGAAAAGAGAAAGAGAAAGAUAGAAAGAGAGACAGAGAGAGAGAGAGAGAGAAACACACAUCGUAGAAAAGUUGCACCCGGCACACUGCACCGAGGAUUGGUAGAAGCGUCCGACCGGUGAUGGAAGAGAAGGAAAAUAAGAUGAGAAGAAGGAGGAGGAGGAAGACGAGGAGAGGAAGGAGGGAAAGAUGUCCGAAGAAGAGAGGAGGGAAGUGCGCGGCGUUUUCUGGAGUCGUCGGGACGCUAUUUUCGGCGUCCCGAUAUGAUGACGCCCGGAGCAAGCCGAUCCUAGAUUUCAGUCAGUUCGCAAGCUCGAAAGCUGCUGGGCACGAAACGAACGAUCUCGCGACUCGCGACUUUCGAUUUCAUUUUCACGAUCACGAUCGACGAAGAACCAACCCUCCUUAGGAAAGCUUUCGUAGAGUUUGAUCGGAGAUAGGAAGAAAAAAAAGGAGAGGGUAGAAAAUAAGAGAAAGAUAGAAGAA